AGUGUUGGUGGAGAGUGUCUUUGUAUUAAAGCCGCAAUAUUCAAGACGACACUGAUACUGAACCGCACCUCCGUACUCGUUUCGAGGAUCGUUGGAUCGGGUUGAACACAACACGAGCCGAGCUCGAAGAGGCUCGCCUUCCUUUGAGUAUCGUCAAGUUUACCGACAGAAAGCGGGUAUGUCCAAGCCGCGCCAAAAAUGACGAGCUGCCCCAUAGCUGCCCGGUCCCACGACUCGUGUAUCGGCGAGUCUUGCUCGUGGCUUGCCGAUACACGCGCCGUGGGAUGCCGCCUUAAUAGUU